CCCGCAGCUCCUUCAACCACCGCUGCACGUUCUCGAACGUUACGUUCCGAGUUAUAUCGUACACCAGCAACGCCCCCACCGCUCCUCGAUAAUAAGCGCUCGUGAUUGCACGCGGUGUCCCAAAUUUGGGCCUUGAUGACCUUAUCGUCGACCUGGAUGGUUCGGGUGGCAAACUCGACACCGAUGGUGGAUUUAGACUCAGCGCUGAAUUCAUUCUUGGUGAAACGCGACAACAAGUUUGAUUUCCCGACACCGGAGUCUCCUAUGAGCACCACUUUGAACAAAUAGUCGUAAUCCUCGUCGGAUCUAUAUGCCAUUUUUGUUUAAGAUCAAAAGAGGAAAAAGGAGAUGAGGAAGAAGUUAAGAAGCCAUAAAAUGGCGUGUAUGUGAUGAGAGAAUGGGGAUGGAGAGGUGAGAGGAAGGCCGAUUGCCACAAACAUGCAGAUAUGAUCUCCGAAUGCUUAGAUGAAGAUCGAGAAAUAGGAAAUUCAAUGAAUUAGAAGAGUCCCUCUCCUGUAUAACACCAAUGUUAUGCUAAUCCACUCCCUAAUUUUAGAUAAAAUAUUUGAUUUGUAAAUAUCAAUAUAACUACUCUUUCUUUUUUUCUUUUUAAUGUUUCAUAUUUAAUCGCCAUUAUAUUAUUUAUUAUCAUCGAA